rnacentral:misc_RNA from 1 species
UGUGGGAGCGGGCUUGCUCGCGAAUGCGGUGGUUCAGUCAAACAUCUGUGACGGACACUGCAUUCGCGAGCAAGCCCGCUCCCACA